rnacentral:rRNA from 1 species
CCUACGGGUGGCAGCAGUGGGGGAUAUUGCACAAUGGGGGGAACCCUGAUGCAGCGACGCCGCGUGGGUGAAGAAGCGCCUCGGCGCGUAAAGCCCUGUCAGCAGGGAAGAAAAUGACGGUACCUGUAGAAGAAGCCCCGGCUAACUACGUGCCAGCAGCCGCGGGAAUACGUAGGGGGCAAGCGUUAUCCGGAUUUACUGGGGGUAAAGGGGGCGCAGACGGCGAUGCAAGCCAGGAGUGAAAGCCCGGGGCCCAACCCCGGGACUGCUCUUGGAACUGGGUGGCUGGAGUGCAGGAGGGGCAGGCGGAAUUCCUGGUGUAGCGGUGAAAUGCGUAGAUAUCAGGAGGAACACCGGUGGCGAAGGCGGCCUGCUGGACUGAAACUGACGUUGAGGCCCGAAAGCGUGGGGAGCAAACAGGAUUAGAUACCCGAGUAGUC